UUCCCCUCUGUGUGUCCAUGUGUUCUCAUCAUUUAGCUCGCACUUAUAAAUGACAACAUGCAGUAUUUGGUUUUCUGUUCCUGCGUUAGUUUGCUAAGGAUAAUGGCCAUUAUCUUAGCCAUUUGAAAAUAAUGAUUUAACCUCUCUCACCUUCAUUGUCAUUUUAGAAGAAACUACCAUUUGGUGUCCUGCUGAGACAAGAAAAUAUUUUCACAACUCAAGACAAGUUAAAUAUCCACUUAUGGGAACAGUGCUGAAGGCCUGGACUAGGAUGGUAGCAAUGGAGACAGACUAAAGAAAGAGAUGCAAUCAUUCCCUUGCAUAUGGUCCGUAUGAAGACGGGAUCAUUACAGGAAAGGUGAAGGAGAUACAGUCAUUAUGCUCUAUAUACACCCAUUUUUAUGGCUAGCGGCUGAAGAUGGGAUGCUUUCUUUGCUGGAAGACCUAUUACCUGUUAGGUUGCAAAAGAUGUGAUCAUCUUCCUAAACAAUAAUUUAGAGUCCCAUAACAAUUUUAAGUGUGCUGUUCAUGAAAAUUUGAAUACAUUGUAUUGGGAAUAUAAUGGAAGUGAGAUGCCUCAUGUCGUGAGAAAAUCUGACAUAAACUCCUUAAGCAUGAGAGGCCAUGUGGGUAUGGAAGCCCUGAAAGGGAGGAAAAAACAGCCAGACCCUAGCUGUUCCAGUCAUCCCAACUGAGGUGCCAGACUUGUGAUUGAGGCCAUCUUGCAUCAUCUAGGCCUAGUAGAGCUGCCAACUGACUGCAGACACAUGAGUCAAUCCAGCUAAUGCCACAUGGAGCAGAGACAAGCCGCCCAGCUGAGCCCAGUCCAGAUGACAGAAUCAUGAGCAAAUAAGGUUCCAUAUGGAGAGGACUGAUGAAGCCAGCAUUAGGCGUGAUGGGGACGUGCAUAAAUGUGUAUGUUAUCCACUGAGACACAGAUUCUGAAGCACCAGAACAUUAAAGGCACUUCUACUUGUUUCUUCUACCCAGCUGAAAGGACAGAAAGCUUCUUCCACAGAGCCAGGACAGUCCAGGGGAACGUAGUCCUUCGACUGAAAGCUAUGCUUCCUAUUUUCUAACAAAGAGGCUAGGUCAUGUUGACCACCCAGUUUUGGCCUGCCUGGCUUGCUUUUUAUUCCAGCCUGGAGGACUUUCAGGGUUGAAUAUCCACUCAAGCCAAAUCCCAAGAAGCAUAACCUGCUAUUAGACUCUUGUCACUUAUCGGGUGAGGGGCUGUGCGGCUGUUCCAGUGCUUCCCCACUUGGGUCUUGUGACAUACCCUGGGGCCAAGCCAAGCCCUGGAGGUUAGCUUCUACAGUCUGUCCUUAAAGAGAGCUCAGGGAUGUCUGGACAGGACCUGGAGACAGUGCCCUGGGCCAGAGACCUCUGAUCUCUAGGCCAGCAGAGUCACCAUGCAGACAGAUUUAUGAGCCUUAGGCAAAACAGCUGGCAUUCCUGUGGCCAUCUUUCUACCCCUUCCUUUCCACAUGACCAUAUCCUUGGCCAGAUCUUCAUGUCCUUAGAUGGCUGUUGCCUUUGGGUAAAUUGGCAAUUAAGAUAAAUGAGCAUAUUUAUCAUGGCCUUGUGGUUACCCCUCCUGAAGCUCUCAGGGUGGCAAGCUGCCUGACCCUCCUACUAUGAACUUAGUAACUUUAAAACAGAGAGUAUCUUUUCUUGCCCAGCUGAAAUUUCCUCCCCAGGCGACCUACUUUUAGGAUUAAUAUGCGGGAAAGUCUGCAGUUUUGUUUUCAGUGAGGGUAGUUGUGUUUUCAAGGAAAGAGGUAGCGCCUUACAGUCAGAUUAGCCAGCUUUAUUUCUUUCAUCAACCCUUUACUGGCUUUCUAAAUUUUUUCAAGUAACUUCACCUCUCUGAGUUUCAUUUACCUCAUUACCUUCAUCAGGUAAGAUGACAUAUGAAAAGCCCUUCUCAAGCAACUGCAAAGUUCCAAUUAAUAGAAGAAAUUGUAAUGACUAUCUGUGUUUGAAGCGGGGCCAUUUUUCUUAUUUGGAAUUUUCACGUAUUAAAAAUAUGGAUCCUUUACACCUGUAUGCCUUUACUCUCCAAAUUGAUUCAUUCUCUAGUUCCUCUAUCUCAUUACUAAGUUCAAAUAAUCAUCUUCCUACAAAUCACUCAGUUUAGAUGCCUUGAAGGCUUCUUUGAAUACUUGCUCCUGUUCACACCCGACAGUCAGUCAUCAAGCCCUGUGGAACUUGUCCCUGGUCAACAUCCGUUCUUCUCCAUUCCUACUGCCGUUCACCACACGCAGGCCCUCAUUGUCCCCUCCUGGGAUCUAUAUCCUCUCCUCAGCACCUUUUUCUUCUCUAUUGAUACCAUAGACAACUUCUCAUCUCAUAUUCUCUAAACUCAACUUUCAGGAUAUCAUACUCUUAUUCCAUAGAUCAGAACUUUCAAUGACUUUCUCCUUCUUUACAGCUCUUCAUAACAACUCUGAAGAUAGAUUCAGUCCUUCUUUUUGGAAUUGCCUCUUAUUUCUUUUUCUUUUUAUGCCCAUCAUAAACCUCCCAUUGGCAAAAUUACCAUGAACAUUUUCUUGUGAAUUCAUUGCCUUGGUUCAUUGGUUCAUGGACGGGCACCACCAUGAGCCAAUUAGAAUCUUUCCCUGAGAAUCUAGAAUCAUGGUUAAGAAGGUAUAGAUCUGCCUGAUGCUUUGUUGAAUGAAGAAAAUAUAAUGUCCCAAGGGUGGCAGCCAUUUUUCUGCCCUAUGAACUUCAAAAUGCAGAAAAUCUAUCUGGAAUGUGAAAGAAGAAGGAUAUCAAUGUAAAAACAAGAACAAUAUAGAUAAGUAGAGAGAGAAGAGAGAGUGACUCCCCAUUCUGCUUUUUUCUGAGGCCUUAAUUUUUUUUUAUUUGUCAUUGGUCUGCUAAGAUAAGUUAUCCCCCCCGCUUUUUUUUUUUUAGGAGACGACUCACUCUGUUGCCAGGCUGGAAUGCAAUGCCACAAUCUCGGCUCACCACAAUCUCCACUUCCAGGGUUUAAGCGAUUCCCUUGCUUCAGCCUCCUGAGUAGCUGGGACUGCAGGCAUGCACCACCAUGUCCAGCUAAUUUUUUGUAUUUUUAGUAGAGAUGGAGUUUCACCAUGUUGGCCAGGAUGGUCUCCAUCUCUUGACCUCGUGAUCUUCCUGCCUCAGCCUCCCAAAGUGCUGGGAUUACAGGUGUGAGCCACCAUGCCUGGGCACCCUUUUUAAUUUAACAACCUGGAGUUAGAUUUCUAUAUUUGUGACACUGGGAGUCCUACUUGUUUUAGGACCUACAUACCAACUGUCAUUUACUGAAAUGAUAUUUAGCCAUACAUUUUUUCCCAUCUGAUUAUAAAACAAAAAUCACAAAUCUAGAGAAGUUUGCUCCAAUAUUCUAAAAUGCUUGGAACAUACAUAAUAAUAUAAUUGAAACUCCCUUCCCUCUUGGCUUUUCUGACCUUGAACUCUCCUCUUUUCUGACUCCUCAGCCCAGCACCACCCCUUCCUUUCCCUUCUUUGCCUCUCCUUUUUCUACUCAUCUUCCAAAAGUAAGUAAUGUUCUGCAAACUGACCUUGGACUUAUUCUCUUGUCUAUUUGCAAGUUCUCCCUUAGUGUCUCAUCAUUUCCUGGCUUCAACUAUUAUUUUCAGGUAACCAUCUCCUCAUCUUUACAUCCUAACUUCUUUUACUGCCCCAUUCUAACACUACCAACUCUUCGCUAGACAUACCCACUUGGAUUCUCCUCCUGCUUCUCAAUCUGAAAAUGCCUAAAUCAGUGGUUUUCAACUGGGGGUGAUUUUGUUCCCCAGGGACAUUUGACAAUUCUGGAGACAUUUUCUUAUUAUCACAACUGGGGUUGGAGAUCCUCCUAGCAUCCAGUGAGUAGAGGCCAGUGAUGUUGCUAACCAUCGUAAAAGAACAGAAGAGCCUCUUACAACAAAGAAUUAUCUGGCCAACAGUUCUGAAGCUGAGAAGCUCUGCUCUGAAACAAAUCUCACCAUGCCCUCCCUGUAUUUCCUCUAUGGCCUAAAUCUGAUCAUUUUCCUGUGUCCUCUUGCCUGUUAGUGACACCUUCAACCUCUAAAUCACCCAGACCAUAAAUUUCAGUAGGUCUUGUUCAACUAUUUGUCAAGGAUGAUUUAUAAAGUAUGCUUACAGUGGGAAAAAAAUAAAGUAAAUAUUACUUCUAAAAUACUUUCUAUAUCUAGGAGUGUUUGAUUGUAUCAAUCUUAAAUAUAAAUAUUAUAAAAUUAGACAAGAAUACAUUUAAACAUAUAAGAAAAUAAAACAUUUAAUUUCAAAUACCUUAUCUAUCAAAUAGAUUCUGGUUAAAGCAACUAAUCUUCUACUCUUUAGAAAAACAAACUUAUUGGGACCACUCAUAUAUUGCUGCAAUUUUCCUGCACAUUAAAUUAAGGGGAGCAUGGUACAACUUCUGAUGAGGAUGGCAAGCCUGUCUAGUACUCUAACAUUGGAAUAUGGGCUUUAUAAGCUUCUUAUAUGUGUUUUGAAAGGGCAACCCAAAGAAAAUGCAAAGAAAAAGGGGAUGGUCAACAGAUAAAGUUUUUAUCAAUUUCUCUGGGGAAGAAAGUAGCUUCCUAUGAAGCUAAUUCCCUGCAUAGCAUUUAUUCCUGUCUGAUGUUUGUUUAUUGUUAAUUUACCUGUUUGUUUUUUGUUGCUUUCCACUAGAAUGCAAGACCCACGAAUUCAGGGGACUUAUAUACUUUGUUAGCUGUUACAUCUCCAGAUUUAAACCUAUGCUUUUUAUUAGGCAUUCUAUUUGUUGACCAAAGGAAUGGAUUAAUGAAUACAUGCUUGAAUAAGUAUGUGACUUAUAUGAGGUCCAGUGAGUGUCCACAUGACAAGAGCUUCUGCUCAGGGUCCAGAUCUAUCUAAAGAUAGUGGAAAGGGCAUGGGACUUGACUCAAUAAUUCAUCUAAAGCUGUUACUUUUACAGUUAGAUGUUUCAGAAUUCAAAUUUCAGGUUUUCCCUGUUAGGUAUGUGACUUUGAGAGAAUUAUUUAUCAUUCAUUCAUUUAUUUAGGCAGUAGUCAUUGCUUGAGUUCCUAAUUUAUGCCAGGUCCUAGGCUAGACUCUGGAAAUUAGUGGCAGAGAUGGCCAACAGAAACCUGUCCUCAAGGAACUCCCUACUAAUUGGAGAGACAGCCAUUAAAUGUAUUCAUAAGGGAAUGCAUUGCUUUGAAGGGGAGAAAUCACAGGAUAGUAUGGGAUUACAUAUAGGGGAUAUGGGAGGAGCUACGUAUGUCUGGUGGGUUUUCUGUAUCUAUGCUUAUUAAUCUAUAAAAUAAAGGUCAUACAAACUUCCUCAGUGGUGUUUUUGUAAAGAUAAACUAUGAAAUGAUCUGGAGCCCAUAUUGGUUGCAGGAAAGCGACUUAGUAAAUAUUGGAUCCAUUCUUUCUUAUUCCCGCUGAGCACAGGAGCAGCUUUGGGAACUGCAACCUGGGGCUGGUGCGACCCAAGCACAUAGCAAUGAAACUCAUCUAGGCCUUUUCUUCCUUCUAGAAUAGUGACAACAGAUGUGAGAAGCCUAAUCAGCUGAUUGCUCCAUAAAAUCAUAAGGGCUGCAGGUCUGCUCCACAUGGUUGAAUCGAAGGCUUCUCAAUUCUGCCACUUUCAUUUUUUGGUCCCUCUUCCUGAAAUUACUUAAGUUUUCUACUCUUACCUGAAAUGCUCACAGUUGGGUGUGAUGAGUCCUUGUAUAUGCAAUCUAUCUGGCUUUCUAGAGGUCAUAGAGGUCAUAGCAGGCUCUAGAUUAUUCCUUUAGUCACAUCUUCUUGACCUGGCAAGCUAAGGAUUAGCUCGUGAGCCCUCUUUAAGAGGAGGGGCUCAUCUGGGUUCACCGAGAUUGCAGGAGGCAAAGUGCUGUAGGGCACCACCUCAUUCUAGUGCUACGCAUUGUAACUGGCUGACCUCUCAGAGACCACACUGCGGCCGUGGAAAUCUGCCUUUUGUAAGAUGCCCUGAGAAACUGGAGAAUAUUAGAGAGGAAUGAAUAUAAAAGCAGUAAACACAACAAGCCUUUGUUGAACUUAGUAAUUGCCAUCACUGGGUUAGAUGAGCAAGGAGAAGGUUUAUGAAGCUGUGUAGGCAUGGUUUUAAUCAUAUGAGGCCAGAUCGAUUAGGCCUGGCAUCUCAGUCUGAACAGAUGAAAGGGGGUGUGAUAAAACCCACAUUUGUAGGAGGUACCUCAUUGGGAUGGUCAAAUCUUUCUUACGUGCCCUAUGAACAUGGGCAAGUUACUUACCCCCUCUACAUCUCAGCUUCCUUACUUGUGAAAUAAAGAUGGUAAUAGCUAUCACGUAGGGAACAGAGAUCACGUGCCAACACUGUGCCUAGAACCUCACCUGCAUCAGCAUGUAUCACACUCCUAAUCAUCCUGUGAGGUAGGCAGAUUAGGUGUCUAUGUUUUACAGAUAAGCAAAUUGAGUGUCUAAAUGGCUAAAUAACUCUUCCAAAGUUACACAAACGGUAAACUGAAGAGUUAGGAUAGGAGUCUGGCUAAUAUAAUGCCAAAUCCAUUCUAUAAAUUACUGAAUCAUAAUGAUCUUAUAGAGUCCAUGUGAUGAUUUAAUGAGAUGUUAAAUGUAAAUAGCUGCUCAGAAGUAAUUUUUAGCUGCUAUUGUUGUGGUUAUUUUCAUUAGCAUCACCAUCACAAUCAGAUAAUUGUGGAAAGUUUCUUACUUAGAUUCAGAAGUACAGAUUAUACAACAGCAUUAAGUGUAGAAUAAAGGAAAGGAGAUCCUAUUCAUCAGCAAGGAUGUAGCGAAGGAAAGUUUAAAAUAUUGACUGUACAAGGUCCAACUUCUCUGAUGGGCUUGGGCCCACAAUUCACCUAAGCUGAGAUUUUUUCAUGAUAGGAAGCUGCUGCUAAUUAUUUGCAUACAGUGCAGCACAAGAACCUGCCCCUGAAGUCAUGUCACUCUAGUAUUUAGCAGCUUCUUUAUGGGAAAGAUAUUUUAUAUUAAUACCUUGGGAAAAGUAGUUACAGCACAUCUCUCAGAGAUAAAAUACCAAAGCAACACUCACUUCCAUCUUGCAUAAGUUAUUGCAACAAUGAUGCUGUGUAACAAACAAACACAAAACACAAUGGCAUACCACAAUAAGUGUUUAUUGUUCAUGUGUCUGAAGUGAUCAGCUAAAUAAAUCUGGCAUUCUUGGAUUUAUGCGUCUGAGGAUUGGUUGUCUGCCUAUCUAGGCUAGCCUCCUUUGAGAUAUCUGGAAUGGCUUGGGUCUGUGUCUCAUCCUUCUCCUGGAACUAGCAGGCUAGUCUAGGCAGAUCCUUGCUGAUGACAAAGGCUCAAGAAAGCAAGCAGGCAUGUGUAAGACCACUUGAGGAAGUAGAAAUCCAACAGUUCUACUUCCUUCACUUAGCUAAAGGAAGUUACAUGGGCAAACCCAAAAGCAAGAGAUAGAGUUGACCUGUUGACUUUAAGGAACUUUGGUGAAAGGAACUGCAAAGUCAUACAGAAAAAAAGAGUGGUUAUAGGAAUAAGUGAAAAAUCAAAUAAUGUCAUUAUCUGCCCAUAUCUUUUCUUAAAAACGGAAUCCAUAUGUGUUUGAAUUUUAUUAAAGGAGCCCCACCCAUAUCAUUAGUCUAGUUUUAUCUCCAAGAUAAAUAUAUAACACAUUCAGCAAAUGGGUUGAAGUCAGGGUCAGGUUUGUUCCUGUUUAUUGUCUCACCCAAGAUGAGCACCAAGGAGUUCAGUUGUUCUCACAUGUCUGUGUGUUGCUGGGCCUUGUUUCUUUAACAAUUAAUUCGUUAUGAGAACAGAGCUUAAUCCACCCUCUUUACUCUCACAAUGUGUGUGUGGGUGUGGAUGUGGGUGGGUGUGCGUGUGUUAACUAGCCUGUGAAAGACUGACUUUUUCCUAGAGUCAUCAGCCUUGAGGGUGACUCUGAGAGGUCCUCGGUUUAUACUGGAGGUAGUAGAGUGAAGUGGUUGAUUAUACAGGCUCGGAAAUGAAACCAGCCAGGAUUCAAAUCUCAACUCUUAUGUCUUAAAUAUGAGAUAUGUACUUAGUUACUGUAAUUUCAUGGAUUUUAAGCUUCUUUAUAAAAAGAGUAAAACUUCUAAUUCAGAGAGAUGUUGUAGGACUAAACAAGAUAUUAUGUUUUGAAAGCCUUUUGCAGUGUUUGCAAAACAUAUAGUAAACUGUCUUGUUCGGUCUUGUUAAUACCGAAUAUUUUAAAGCAUAUGAUUUUAAUAAUAAAUGAGUGUUAUUGGUUAUGGUCUCAUUAUCAUCAUCCAUUCAUCCAACCAUCCAUUUCCUCGUAGAUGAUCUACAGGAGUCCUAAUCAUUUCUAAGUCACAUUACACAAGAUUUCCUUGGUCAGGAAAAGGUUUUCACUUAGGACAGACCAUUAUCUCCUUUAUUCUCUUUCCUCUGAAAUUGCCAUGAGAAGAAAAUGCCACGAAGAACCAUGAAAGGCUUCCCUCUUGUCUCUGUUUCUGCAAGCACUGAGAAUACAUGCUUCUGAGCAUCCUCAUAAAACACUUUAUAAAAACAUUCAUAGAUUUACAGAUAGAAAAUAAUUCACCCUGGCCUCCUGAAAACUAGGUGUCAAUUACUCUACACUUUCUCCAUUGGAUCCAAACCUCAGAAAAAUUGUUGUUUUACCAUUUUAUUUGCUAAAAGUAGUGACUAAACGAAAAAGAAACAUAGGAGAAUAUAUUUGUGCAUUUGGGUUAUGCAAUAGUUUCUUAGAUAUAACACCAAAAAGUAUGAUUCAUAAAAUUAAAAACAUAAAAAAUUGGACUUCAUCAAAAUGAAAACAUUUUGCUCUUCUAAGAACACUAUUAAAAUGAAAAUGCAAGUCAAAGACUGGGACAAAAUAUGUGUAUAUCAUGUAUCUGUUAAAGGACUUGUAUCCAGAACACAUAAGGAACUCUUACAAUUCAAAAAGAAGAAAACAACCCAAAUUUAAAAUAACCAAAACAUUUAAAUGGACAUUUUGCCAAACAAAGGUACACAUGGUUAAUAACCACAUGAAAACCUGCACAACAUUAUUAGCAAUUAGGAAAAUACCACUCCAUACUCAUUAGAAAAGUUAUAAUCCAAAAGACUGACAAUAACAAACAUCGGUGAAGACAUAGAGAAGCUAGAACUCUCAUAUAUUUCUAGUGGAAAUGUAAAAUGAUAUAGUCAUGUUGGAGGAAAGAGAGAGAACCCUAAAUCCUAACCAAUAGACACCAUGUAAGAUAUGAUACAGCCAUUUUGGAAAACAGUUUGAUAAUUGCUUAAGAAGCUAAAAUUAUUCUUACCUUACAAACCAGUAAUUCCACUUCUAGGUAUACACCCCAGAAAUAUGAAAACAUGUUCACAUAUAGACUUGUAAGCAACAUUCAAAGCAACAUCAUUCAUAAUAGCCAAAAUGUGAGAAAAAAUGCAAAUGCUCAUCAACCAGUCAACAGAUAAAGUGUGAUCCAUACAAUGGAAUACUACUCAGCAAUAAAAAGGACAGAUUAUUGAUACAUACCACAUUUUGAGUUAGCCUUAUUUCACUGUGCUAUGUGAAAGAAACCAGACAUAAAAAUUGCAUAGUGUAAGGUUGCAUUUAUAAGAAAUUCCUAGAAAAGAGAAAUCUAUAUGUAGAAAAAAACAGAUUAGCGAUUGUUGGAGACUGGGGAUUAGAAUGGGGAUUGAUGACAAAUAGGCACAUGUAGAGUUUUUAAAUGAUAGAAAUGUCCUAAAAAUUGGAGUGAGGGAUGGUUGUACAAACGUAUACAUUAAUUUAAAAACACUGAACACAAAAUUGGUGGUUUUUAUGGUAUGUAAAUUAUACCUUAAUGAAGCAGUUUUUUUUUUUUAAAGUUAAAUGAGAUCUAGAACUCUAGUCAGGACUGUGUUAAAACUGCUAACGUUGGAGUUGUUUUCUUCCCAAAACAAUUCAAAUAAUGCUGCUCGUUCCUAUUAGGCAAUACAUAUUUCAUUUCUAGUCAGCAUGUGGUGAGGUGAUCACCUUAUUAUUUUCUUUCCUUCUGCAUACUCCAGAUGCACUUUUGACUUAAUAUCUUCGUUGUAUCCUCUUAAUUAGGUUCUUGCUGUUUCCUUGAGACCAUACCUUCAGUAGUUCAUGCCUAGUUUAAAUUUUAUCCUCCACUCAGAUUUAAUUCAAACCACCACAUUUUAAAUGCCUUAUAGUUUAUUUCUGUGAAUGUAAGAAACACAUCCUUGGCUUGCUUUUACAAAUUCAUUACUGAAGAGAUGGACUAGAGGGGCCAACGAUUGAUUCCAAGAGACACCAAUUGCUCUAUUCCCCUGCCUGAUAAUGAGCCCAUACCCAGAGGGAAUCGGCCAGUGUUAAAUCUCAUAAUGACAAACAGAAAUGUGCAGCGUCGUUAUCACUAAGCCAACACCAUUAAAGGCCAGUGUUUAUUGACACUUCAGGUGACUGGAUGAUGCCUCUCCAGGCCGAGCUAAUGAGGAGAACCUCUCCAUUACCUCUUAUCGAGAUUUAGCAGACUCCAUAGCUACCCAAUGAAAGUGGAAAUUACUGGGCAAGCACUGACAUUUACCAGAGACUGGCCUUCAGUCAUAAUGCAUAAGGCACUCAAGGACAGAUUUGUAGACUCAGAAAUCCAGUUUAUAGAGGCUUUUGUUUUAGCCUGUUGUUUGCAAAGCCUGCACCCUCAAACAUUUUUGCUGCUCUCCACAGUCUAGUGCAAAAGUGGUUGUUUUCAUGGAUGUAUUUCCUGCCACUUGUCUUAAGCACGAAAAAAAGACCAAAGCACAAAUUUGAAAGUCUUUUUGGUUCUUGUAUUCUUUAGAAGCCCACCAUAGUUGUUGUUUUCUGAUGGGAUUUAUUCACUCAAUCCCAAUCAUUCAUAGACCAUCUCCAUAAAUUUGCACUUUCC
rnacentral:lncRNA from 10 species